GUUCUCCACACGUCAUGGUUACCACCAUCGCCAAGAGGCCUGACUUGUUUUGGAGGCCCAUGACAAUCAGAUCCUGCUUCUCUUACACCUACCUACAAGACUCCUGAAAGACUGAAAAAUGUGAAAGGAGCAUGUGACUGGUUCAGGCGGGAGAGGACCGUGCUCAAAGGUGAGCUGACCUCUGCCCUUAAGUUCUCUAUUUCAUCUGCCCACGAUUUGCUACUUCACGGAACCUACAUGUCAGCUGCCUCAUUACUACAGAUUUUCAAAGGAAACAGAUACCAACAGUAAACAAAAAUAAAAUAUAUGUUGGUUUGCU